CGGGGUGAGUAAUGUCUGGGAAACUGCCUGAUGGAGGGGGAUAACUACUGGAAACGGUAGCUAAUACCGCAUAACGUCGCAAGACCAAAUGGGGGACCUUCGGGCCUCAUGCCAUCAGAUGUGCCCAGAUGGGAUUAGCUAGUAGGUGGGGUAACGGCCCACCUAGGCGACGAUCCCUAGCUGGUCUGAGAGGAUGACCAGCCACACUGGAACUGAGACACGGUCCAG
rnacentral:rRNA from 1 species